UAUUUGAGAGUUUGAUCCUAGCUCAGGAUGAACGCUGGCGGCGUGCCUUAGGCAUGCAAGUCGAACGGGUCCGCGCAAGCGGACCAGUGGCGGAAGGGUGAGUANNNNNNNNNNNNNNNAGGGUGAGUAACGCGUGGGAACGUACCUUUUGGUGGAGAAUAGCCUUCCGAAAGGAGGGGUAAUUCUGCAUAAGUCCGCAAGGAGAAAGGGCUUAACCGCCCGCCGAAAGAGCGGCCUACGUCCUAUCAGCUUGUUGGUGGGGUAACGGCCUACCAAGGCAAUGACGGGUAGCUGGACUGAGAGGUCGGCCAGCCACAAGGGAACUGAGACACGGUCCCUACACCUACGGGUGGCAGCAACCAGGAAUCUUGGACAAUGGGCGAAAGCCUGAUCCAGCGACGCCGCGUGGGGGAAGAAGGCCUUCGGGUUGUAAACUCCUUUUGGCCCGUGUAAUGCGGGCAGAAUAAGCACCUGCCAACUACGUGCCAGCAGCCGCGGUGAAACGUAGGGUGCAAGCGUUAUCCGGAUUUACUGGGCGUAAAGGGUUGCGUAGGCGCCCAGCUUCAUCUUGUCUGAAAGCCUCCCGCUUAACGGGAGAAACGGACAGGAAAUGAGCUGGGUUUGAGGCUCACAGAGGUAGCCGGAACUUGCAGUGGAGCGGUGAAAUGCGUUGAGAUUGCAAGGAACACCGAUGGCGUAGGCAGGCUACUGGGUGAGAUCUGACGCUGAUGCACGAAAGCUAGGGGAGCGAAGCGGAUUAGAGACCCGCGUAGUCCUAGCCGUAAACGAUGGACACUAGCUGGCUGCCUUAUGGUGGCUGGCGCAAGCUAACGCGUUAAGUGUCCCGCCUGGGGAGUACGGCCGCAAGGCUAAAACUCAAAGGAAUUGACGGGGACCCGCACAAGCGGUGGAGCAUGUGGUUUAAUUCGAAACAAAGCGAAAAACCUUACCAGGGUUUGACAUCCCGCCUGCAAGCCGAUGGAAACAUUGGAUUCUUUUGAAGGUGGCGGGACAGGUGCUGCAUGGCUGUCGUCAGCUUGUACCGUGAGGCGCACCCUUAAGUGGGUUAACAAGCGCAACCCCCAUCCCAUGUUAAAUUUCAUGGGAAACUGCUCGCUAAAAGCGUGGAGGAAGGUGGGGAUGACGUCAAGUCAGCACGGCCCUUAUGUCCUGGGCUACACACAUCCUACAAUGGGUGAUAAACAGCGGGUUCGCAACGCCGCAAGGUGAAGCUAAUCCCUUAAAAGCACCCUCAGUUCGGAUUGAGGACUGCAAUUUGUCCUCAUGAAGCUGAAAUCGCUAGUAAUCGCGGAUCAGCAGGCCGCGGUGAAUACGUUCUCGGGUCUUGUACACACCGCCCGUCAAGCCAACAAAGUCGGGAGUGCCUGAAGUGUCGCAUUUAGCGGCCCCAAGGCAAUAUCGGCGAUGGGGACUAAGUCGUAACAAGGUAUCCGUUCUGGAAGGAGCGGAUGGAUCACCUCCUUUCU
rnacentral:rRNA from 1 species